rnacentral:rRNA from 1 species
GUAGGGAAUAUUGCACAAUGGAGGAAACUCUGAUGCAGCGACGCCGCGUGAGUGAUGAAGGCCUUCGGGUCGUAAAGCUCUGUCGCAGGGGAAUAACACAAUGAAGGUACCCUGUAAGAAAGGAUCGGCUAACAUCGUGCCAGCAGCCGCGGUAAGACGAGGGAUCCUAGCGUUGUUCGGAAUCAUUGGGCGUAAAGCGGAUGUAGGUGGCUAUGUAAGUCAGAUGUGAAAGCCUGGGGCUCAACCCCAGAAGUGCAUUUGAUACUGCGUAGCUAGAGUGUCGGAGAGGUUACUAGAAUUGUUGGUGUAGUGGUGAAAUACGUAGAUAUCAACAGGAAUACCGGAGGCGAAGGCGGGUAACUGGCCGAACACUGACACUGAGAUCCGAAAGCGUGGGGAUCAAACAGGAUUAGAUACCCUGGUAGUCC